rnacentral:tRNA from 1 species
GCAGUCGUGGCCGAGUGGUUUAAGGCGAUGGACUACAUAUCCAUUGGGGUCCCCCCGCACAGUUUCGAAUCCUGUCGACUGCG